UUUGGACUUUGGUGUGCUGUUAUCAUGGUUUUUCUGUCUUUAUUAAUAGCUUAUGUUUCCAGACAGUAGUAUAUACAAUGUUUUUGCCAUCUUCUCAUGAGUAGUUUCAUUUGUAAUUCAUGUGCAUGCCUGCUCCUUUCGUGCAGGUUCAACCAUGUGUUGGUAUUUGAAGUGAUAAAUGCUACUCAAAAUAUGGAAGAAGAUGACCAUUUAUUUUAGUUGGAUCCCUCAUGAUCUCUAUCGCUGGUCCAGCUCCUGCUCUUCUGGCUGAUCUCUUAGGUGAAUUAGUGCUACCAUUACAGUCUUUGCAGGAUUGAUCAACUUUCUUUCUUUCUUUAUUAUUUUUUUUUCUUACAUAUAUUUACUCCUUGAAAAAUAAGUUACACCAUAUCACAAUGUUUUUGAAGAAUGUGCUACAAGAUUUAUUUAUGUUGUGACAGGGCCUGACCAAAAAAAUGCAGCAAAUGCAAUAUUUUGCUCAUGGAUGGCUAUUGGAAACAUUGUAGGGUAUUCUUCUGGUGCUAGUGGAAGUUGCACAGGUGGUUUCCAUUUUUGAAAACAAGAGCUUGCUGUGAAGCCUGUGGAAAUUUGAAAGCAGCCUUUUGGAGUCUUCGCUUCUAUUCGCUGGUCAUGAUGAGGAUGGGCCUAGUUUGUAAGUAUCAACCUUUUACUUUGAUCUCUUGGUCUUCUGUAAGGACCACAACUAUUGGUCAUUGGGAAUAUAUAGUCUACAUUAGGAGGUUAUGCUUUUUUAUAUGCUUCUGACUUUGAAUUUUAGAAUGGCUAGUUUCAGUUUUUUUGCUUUUUAGUUUUUCUGCACUUAGAAAUUGUGAUAUGCAGAUACUACACGGACCCAUCUGGUACCUUCUGGCAAUGCAAUGCAAAGGCAUUAGGUUCGGGCUCCGAAGGUGCUGACAGCUCGUUGCAGGAGC